GCCAUAAAGUCCUGUAGAGGAAUAUGGGUAGAAAAAAAAGAGAAGGAGAGGUUCUCUGCCCUCUGUAAAUAUUAAGGAAGAGCUGACAUCUGGCAGGGCUGCCUUGCUUGCUCUGUGACCCUGGGAAAGUCACUGCUCUGAUACCAGCUGUAAGUGAAAAGCACAUAAUUAAUGUGUAAAUUAGUAAGUUAGUGGCUUGAAAAUGCUUGAAAGCAAACCUUCAUGGUAACACAACGCACUCUGCAUAGAUGUAGAGAAAAAGCAGCCUCUGAGAUGAUGUGGAACCCCGACACCGUAACAAGCCUUUAAUCUUGGGCUUUUUCAUUAGUACUGCUCUAUAAACAGUCCAGACUGCCAGCUCAGAAACAAGUAAUAAUCUGAAAGCAUAUGAUAUUUUUCAUAUCCAUCCUCUCCUUCCUUCUUUUGGGUUUUGCCCACUCCCCAGGCAGAAGGGCUCCUCUUCUCCAAGCAGGCGGGUUCAGAGCCCCCUCUGCUGGAGCGCUGGCAGCAGCAGGACGGGCUGAGCAGGGGGACACGACAGCUACAACUGCUCUUCAGGGCAUGGAGAAGGUGCUCCAGACGUUCUUCUAAGGAGUCUCACGUGGCUGAUGUAUUCCGCUGCAGGUUUUGAAAGCUGAGAACACAACAAGAAGGCGUUAGCGGACUCGGAACUGCCUGGGAUCAGCGAGGUUACUCUUCUCUCAGAUCUGCAGAAGAGCGUGCAGAACGCUUCCAUGCAGCCUUUGAAGAUGUAGAGGAUUUCUCCUCCUUCCUUUCCCCUCUCAAUUUUUAUUUCUUCUCCCUGCUCCCGCUCAGUGUCUCUGGCUGUGGAGUCUGAGAAGUAGAAUAAGGAAGUUCUGGCAUGGGACAAGGCUCAGCCUGGAGACUGCUUAGCUCCCCAGGAAGGAUAUGUCUACCUAAACACGAAGGGAAACAGGAAGGAAAGAUGAAAUAGUACAUCUGUUAACAGGAGAAGAGGCACUUUGAGUCAGACAGGGAGAAGUUUCAGUGAAAUCCAGAUGUCCAGGCAUGCUGGAGAUGGAAAGAGCGAGUUUUACGAGGGUCUCCCACCAUCUGCUAGGAACUCCUGGCUCGCUGUCACAAGCUGCAACUGCCUCAUCUGAUGUCUUUUGGACUUAAGUAAACCAACUUUCUACAUGAAGGACGUGCAGUCGGUCUCAUUUAACAAGAUUUCAACUGAGAAUGUUAUGUCCAAACAUGUAAGAACUGGAAGAUAGACAAAAAUACUAAAUGGUUAAGUGACGAUGGAGUGUUUCCACAUCAAGGCUGGUGCAGUGGGGAAUUAAUAGUGAAUUUCUCCAGUUCUGGUCCCAAGAGUAAUCUCACUAAAGCCUUUUUCUAACGACCUUGGCACAAAAAGCAAGCAUGAUAAUUAAAUUUGGUGAUGAACAAAAAAAAGGGGGAGGCUUCAAUAAUACGAGGAAACUAAAAUGUCUUAGAGAAUCGAUGACUUUGAAGAGUGAGAAAUAGAGAUAAGAUGCAAUGUAGCAGCAGAAAGUGUGAGGCUGUGAAUUCAGGGUCGAGAAGAAAUUUGUGAA